ensembl:lncRNA
CUUAAAAUUAGUUAUGAGAAGUGUACACAUUUUGGAUGACAUAACUUAUGCAUUUGCCUGCUUUAGGUGCGUCCUUAGCUCUCAGUAGUGCUGUCUGAAAUUUGUCAUCUUCUGCUCACAACAACCUCCUGCAUACAGUCUGUCUUAAGCGUCUCAUUUAAGGCAGUUUCAGAUACAGUGUCUCCAAAAGGACAAAGUUUCUCCUUUACCCUGAAUCAGUUGUUUUGGUCCUAUGUUUCCUUACUUCUCCUCCCUCACUCAGGAAGUGCCACUUGGAUUGACCUCAAGGCAAAACAGUCUGGCAACAGUUACUAGAAGUGGCAUUGACAGCUUUUCUGUUUCAGGAUAAUAUUUACUGGCCAGCUACUAUACAACCUAAAGGGCUCUUGAUUUCUUGAUCACUCAGAAGGCUAGAAUUACCUCUAUAGGUGGAGAAGCAGGUUGUAUUUGUUCAUUCUCAAUACACUCUAUUACACAAGUGAUACUUCCUGUUGCAAGGAAGCAGCAAAUCCGUUCCACUUUGGAGAUAAUGAUACUGACCAGGCUAUUGUUGCGUGCCACACCUGGCCCAGACAGAGCGGGGAGUGGUGCCUUUGUUGCCAUGUGCAAGCACUGACCACCUUUUGCAGUGGUCAGCUUCUUCAAGCUGCGCCCCUGAAAAAGUCUGCUUGUCCUGCUUCUUCUUAUCUUUACAAUCAUAAGCACAUGGAUAUGAGGAACAGAAAUAAUUGCAGUUCUGAUCUUGAAUAGAACCAAAAAUCAUUGUGCAAAUGUUCAUGAAGUUCCCACAUUCAGCCUCACCAGCUUCUGAAGACUGGGGAAGAUUGUAGGCUUUCUUUAUUGGAUGGAACUUCCUCAUCACAUAUUCAGAAGUUUGUCUGUGUUAAUAUGCAUGGUAUUUUUUUUAACUUCCAACAGCCCAAAUCUCUUUUGUUGACAACCUAUUUAGUGCUUUUUUUUUUUUUUUUUAACUUGCAUUUGUUCAAGUGCUUUGGAUAGGAUUAUUGAAUAAGCCUUAGAAUAAGUCAUAAUGUGUUUAGUGAUGGAAAACCAGGUACAGUGUCAUUUCCUUUGUUCAUAAUGAUGCCUGCAUUUUCAUUACAGAAAUACUCAUUGUCUUUAUCUCUUUCAGCUGUGUUAACUAUUAAAACAGUUUCUUUGAUCUACAUUAUUUUGUCUCUUGUACAUUUAUAGAUCCUUUGCCAUGACAAACAAUUUCUUGACAGUGACAAGGAACUUUGCUUAUGUCUAAUAGGAUGUUCUAUACACAGGCUAGAUGGUAUGCCUCAUACGUUGUGUAUUGACUUGUUUUAAAAACAAGUAAAUGAGAUUUGACAAAGAAUGUGAGAAAAUGUACUUUGGAAGAAUGAAAGAAAUGAAGUUAGCAUCGUGUCUUCAUAAAUCUUAGACUCUCUGUAUUCAAAUGCAAUCACUUGCCCCAGUAAAGGAAAUGUAUUAUUCAUGGCCUCAUACAUCUUGUAAAAUGAUGUGAUUGGUUUUUUCUACAUUCUCUGACAAGAUCUUAUGCAGAAGUACGAAUAAAUAAAAUAAUGGUGCAUAAAAGGUUUAAGUAGUCACAGCUAAUUUUAUCA